rnacentral:tRNA from 1 species
GCUAACGUAGCUUAACUAAAGCAUAACACUGAAGAUGUUAAAACAAACCCUAGAAAGGUUUCGCAAGCA